rnacentral:lncRNA from 12 species
UACAUGAGAAGUUCCUAAUACCAUAAGGUGCAUAGCAAAUGCUUAAUAAAUGUUAGCUAUUCUUAUUAUAAUUCCUAGUAUAAAUCUCUUAUGUGUUCAGCAAUUUGCAGGAGCCUAAAGUGGUGGAGCAAAAAUCCCUGUGUGCCAUCUGCCUGCAUCUCAAUAGAGACUCUCAGAUGAAACAUCACAAUGGUUCCUGGUCAUUCAGGAGUGAGUGGGACUUGGGGGCCAGAGUAUAAACUGAGGGAUCUGAACUUGUUGAAACCAGACAAGCAAGGUCUAUCAGUCAAGAGAAGUUUAAUCCAGAAAGGAUUCAACUGCAGAUAAAUUGGAAACUGCUGCUCUGGCUGCCUGCGGGGCAAGGCCUGAUGUCUGUAUGGUUUCGAUCGAUGACAAGGUGAGUGUAAUAAGCAGACCGCCUCUCCUC